rnacentral:rRNA from 1 species
CCUACGUGAUGCAGCAGUGGGGAAUAUUGCACAAUGGGGGGAACCCUGAUGCAGCGACGCCGCGUGAGUGAAGAAGUAUUUCGGUAUGUAAAGCUCUAUCAGCAGGGAAGAAAAUGACGGUACCUGACUAAGAAGCCCCGGCUAACUACGUGCCAGCAGCCGCGGUAAUAAGGAGGGGGCAAGCGUUAUCCGGAUUUACUGGGUGUAAAGGGAGCGCAGACGGCUGUGCAAGUCUGGAGUGAAAGGCGGGGGCCCAACCCCCGGACUGCUCUGGAAACUGUAAAGCUGGAGUGCAGGAGAGGUAAGCGGAAUUCCUAGGGUAGCGGUGAAAUGCGUAGAUAUUAGGAGGAACACCAGUGGCGAGGGCGGCUUACUGGACUGCAACUGACGUUGAGGCUCGAAAGCGUGGGGAGCAAACAGGAUUAGAUACCCCAGUAGUC